CAAAUACUCCCUCCAUCCCAAAAUAAGUGACUCAAAAAUGAUCAACUUUGUACUAAAGUUAGUACAAAGUUGAUCAUUUUUGAGUCAUUUAUUUUGGAAUGGAGGGAGUAUAUU
rnacentral:pre_miRNA from 1 species